rnacentral:rRNA from 1 species
AGAGAUUGAACAUAAGAGUUUGAUCCUGGCUCAGAUUGAACGCUGGCGGCAUGCUUUACACAUGCAAGUCGGACGGCAGCACAGAGAAGCUUGCUUCUCGGGUGGCGAGUGGCGAACGGGUGAGUAA